CAAUACACUUCGGGUAUGCCA
rnacentral:siRNA from 1 species